rnacentral:tRNA from 1 species
GGCCUCGUAGUUCAAUGGAUAGAACGAGAGUUUCCUAAACUCCAAAUACAGGUUCGAUUCCUGUCGAGGCUA